GAGGAGGAGGGCGCCCUGUUCUGCGUCUUAGCCUCGUUCGCGGCUCCUCGCGGCCGAUCCUGCGGCACGAGGCUACCCAACCCGCACAACGCUCGGAGUGGCACCGGUUCAUGGUGUACGAGGUCUCACCUACCAGCUACGGGAGGGGUGGACCGGUGGAGUGCGCACUGACCAUAAAGCAGUAGGGCGGAGACGAGCUAAGCCGAGGCAGGCUACCGCCACGAACGCGGAACUGCGGCGCGGAGCGUGCUACCGGCGGUCUUCGGAUACGGAACCGGCGAAAUCGAUAACACGCAUUCGCACUAGAUUAUUAGUCUUUACAAAACUACAUUAGGUAACGAGUACGUUAAGAUAUCAGACACCUUUGACGAGAAAAUGUGACCAUGUUAACGUCAGAAUUCAACCUUGAAUAAACAUCAAAUAAGUCACUGAUGUAUUAUAGAGAUAUAUUACGGUAUGGUUAUUCCGUAUAAACUAAUCAGAACGAACCAGACUUGUAAGAAUUUACAUUAAGUCCUACGAGAUCGAUUAGAAAAAAGAGUAAAGACUGUUCUACGUAAUAACAAAUAGACUUGUCGUCAAAGCACCGUACUUUUUCUUGUAUAUAUAUUGUUACGUAAGGUACCCCGACGUCAUGACCUUUUAAAGGACUAGCAACUCCGUUGGUUGUACCUAAACGUAUCGAAGACAUUGAGUUUACUUACGAUACAUUUAUUAUAAAAAAAGCAGAUUGAUAAUAGUUUUACGUACGUCAAAAUCGAGACUGUCUUAGUUCAGUUAGUUGAUACCCUGUCCAUGUCAUACGUCAAUACAAGAUCACAAAAUCGAUGUCACGUCCAUGUAGAAGGAACGAAUCAGAUUAACACUAACAGUUUACAAGGAACAAACGAUCUAAAAACACAUGUGAAGAACACGUAUACACUUCCCUUCGUUCGAACCUAAGUGACCUACUACAUAUGUGUGGUUCACGUGGAGCGAAAGUAUUAUCGUUCGUUGGAGUAUAACUCCAUGCAAGAGAAGCGAACGUCGGAAAAAUUCUCAAACAAAAAAGGUCAAUCAGAGAAGACUACCGCUACAGAGUCUUUUAGCGAAAGAGGCCACCAACUAUUAAAAUCGAGAUAUACGAACACAACGUUUGUCGUGUUCGUUGACCCGUUGGUAAACAAAGUAUUUGAGUUUGGUAACUUGAAUUUUUGUAGUGGAAGGCGUCGACCACACAUAGCAUCAACUCACUGUCGUCUAACGGGUCACCCGAAGAGGCGUCACACUUUUAGACAGUCUUUCUUAACUAGUAUCUAUACUAAUAUGAACACUGACGAUGUAGUAUUUCUUGUCUUUUUUACCUGUAUGGUCCACUAUACCGGUGCCCACAGAAUCUACCUCACGCGAAAGUUAAAUCUUUCCUCUACAUCGAAACAAUAAUAGGAAACGGAGCACAGAAGAAAAAUUAUAGAGCACAGAAGAAAUUAAGAAAACCUAGACGAAAAACUGGACAGAGGUUCUUUUAGAAGUCCUAGAUAUUCCAGGUUCAUCCAUUCUCAACCACUAUAUAAAUAAAUGGGACCCAUUUAUCGUUUAGUUCAUUUAUUCUUUCAGAACAUGUCGAGUAAAACCUUUAAACUCUUUACUAGUUCUCCACUUCAGGUGAAACUAAAAAUGGAACACGUCUGAAUCCAAACAACAUCCAGGAACAUCAGUACCAAAAGAAAUUUUUUUUAGUAUGUAGUAGCUUGGUACGACUUGAGUGCACAUGUCUCAUACGACAGUAGUAGAAUGUAUCGUAGAAGAUAUUUAGUAUGUGUUUUAAAGCCUUAGACUUGAUGUGUUGAAACUUUGUUUGACUUUUCAAUAGUCGUAGACGUGAUUUGUAACCAUUCAAUCGAAAUCCUCUUUGUAUGAGUUUCUUAUAGACUCAGCCGGCAAUAAGUAGAACUGUCAUUCCGUGCUAUCAGUAAUUUAAGCAUAAUGCUAAGAAGCACGGUUGUGAUGUUGGAUGUUGUCAUUUAGUAUAUAUAUUGAUACAGGCUUUGAACUGUAGUAUGUUACACCUUCUUCCUUAAUUUAACGGUUUUUAUAUAUGUAUGGAAUGAGAAAUUGACGCAAAUGAGCUAACGACUCAGACUACUUAACGAUGUAUUUAUCGGGUUUACUAACGGACCGGUAUACAUUACAACCAUUUGUAUGUUACAUUCAUGGUCUUAAGCUAGUCUUAUUUUGAAGCCGUUUGGUUGUAAAUCAAUAAAUUUGUUUUCAAGUGGAAUAACUCAUGUCUUCACCGUGAACCUAAUUCGUAAACUUUUUGUAAUUACGUACCAUGGGUUAUGGUUAACCGUCCGGUUGUAUAUUCUUGUUUAAAACGAAUUAACAUAAAGUCUAUAUAUCUCUUCGUACAUGACUAAAAAUAAACGUGUUUUACUAAUCAGCAUCUAACAGUAUCUCUAAAACAUCAGUAAAGUAAGUUUACCGAAUUUUGAUUGUAUUUUUACACCGUUAGGUAACCGUGUUUAACUGAAGUAUGUCAUGAGAGUUCAGAUGUUAUGUUAUGGUUAACCGUUCGGUUGUAAGUCUCUUCGUAGAUGACUUGAAUCCAACAUCUUUAAGUCUCUUCGUACAAGACCUAAAUCGUUCAUCUUUAAGUCUCUUCGUACUCACCUCCUCGGCUAAGAUGGCAAAGCACAUACGACAGAUGGAAAAGGAUAAUAGUCAACCCUACGGUGAAAAAGACAGAAGGUACGAGUCCCAGAAAACUAUAUCUUGAACAACUGAUAGACUGAAGGUACGAUGUUUUCUAUCCGUAGAGGAUUUAAUACAAACGAUUAAGAAAGUAAAUCGGUUCAACCUACAGUUAGGAGGGUUAAUACACGAAUAUAUUAUUGUCUUGUAUAAUCUCUUAUCUCUAUACAAGUCACUGUACGUAAGACAAAGUACGUUUCGUGUAUUUGAGAUAUAAUAUCCGGUAACGUAAAACAAAUGAGCCAUAUAAUUCUUUAUCCUCAUGUUAACAUCAGUACAAAAAAUACAAUGAGAAACAUAAAUACUUAAAACUGGGUUUAGACGGUGCUCCACUUGAAACUGACUACAGGUAGUAAAACCAGUUAUAAUAAAACAACAGAGUUCGCGUCUAAGAAGAUUAAUGCCAUGAGGAUUAUUAACUUAUACACCCCUCUCAGUCACAAGGUACUUUGGUCUAACGAAAGGAACGAUGUUUCAUACUCGGUGGAUCCAAACAAAGGGCAGUCGAUUGAAGGAUGUGGUUCGGCCGCCGAACUACAACUCCAUUUCAGAAUUUCUUUUAAGACUAGCUUCAAACAUGGACUAGUUUCAAACGACCGAACCACCGCUCCCGCAGUUGUACCGCUGCCGCCGUCGGGCGCGAGCGUAGGCAACCAGUCGUCUCCUCUCGUCGUCCGCCGGUGCCGCGGGGCGCGAGUACAGGCACCCGGUCGUCUCCACUUCGGCUGCCACCGCGGCCUCUGAGAGCGAGCGUAGGUACCCCGUCACAUCCUCUCCGUUCACCGCUGCCGCCAGACACGAGCGCAGUAACCCCGUCAUCUCCUCGCCUGCCGCCGCUGACUCAGGGCACAAACGCAGAAACCCCAUCGUCUUCUCCUCGCCUGUUCCCUGUUGCCGUCGCAGCUAGGCGCGAGUGCAGGUAUCCCGUCGUGUGUUGUCUCCUCCUCGCCGCCCGCCACCGCCGCUAGACGCGUGCGCAGACACCCCAUCGUCUCUCCGCUGCACAACACUCCCGUCUCUCUUUUAAUGCCCUAUCUUUGGGGGAUAGGGGCAAUUAACUCCUGGUUGGCCACGCAGCCCGUCAGACGAACCGUCUUGUAAAUUAGACCCUGCAAGUACACGCAUCGUCUGGGAACUACAUUAUACCUGACAAUCUACGAUAAAUCAACCUAACUAGAUUGCGGAGACUAUUAGGACACAUGUGAAACACCACACAGAGAUCCCCUUAAGUACAAACGAGAAAAUUAUCAUCAUAUCUAAU
rnacentral:rRNA from 1 species